rnacentral:rRNA from 1 species
UACGGAGGAUGCGAGCGUUAUCCGGAUUUAUUGGGUUUAAAGGGUGCGUAGGUGGUAGAUUAAGUCAGCGGUGAAGGUUUGUCGCUUAACGAUAAAAUUGCCGUUGAAACUGGUUUACUUGAGUAUAGUUGAAGUAGGCGGAAUGCGUGGUGUAGCGGUGAAAUGCAUAGAUAUCACGAAGAACUCCAAUUGCGAAGGCAGCUUACUAAACUAUAACUGACGCUGAAGCACGAAAGCGUGGGUAUCAAACAGG